rnacentral:miRNA from 1 species
AAGUGCUGGCACUUGGAAGCCU